UUGCACCCACAUGAUGCACCAUGGGAAUGACGUUCCAAGGACAGCCGGAGGGUAUGCCACACCCUAGUUCAAUCAGGUACUAGGCUUCCCUAUCCCAUACUAGGUAUGAGAUUAGUACUUUCAAACACUUGAUCAUGAACGCCGACACGUUUCGACCUUAGUCCAUUUUCAUUUAGACAGAUGGGGCAAACCACCAAGUAUCGAACAUAAGCCCG
rnacentral:lncRNA from 1 species